rnacentral:rRNA from 1 species
UACGUAGGGUGCGAGCGUUGUCCGGAAUUAUUGGGCGUAAAGGGCUCGUAGGCGGUUUGUCGCGUCGGGAGUGAAAACCAUGGGCUUAACUCAUGGCUUGCUUUCGAUACGGGCAGACUAGAGGUAUGCAGGGGAGAACGGAAUUCCUGGUGUAGCGGUGAAAUGCGCAGAUAUCAGGAGGAACACCGGUGGCGAAGGCGGCAUCCUGGACCGGCAUUGACGCUGAGGCGCGAAAGCCAGGGGAGCAAACGGG